UGAAUGGAGCUGGAAAGGGUGUUUCAAAUGUAUAGAUGGUUUCAAACAGCGGAGAGAAAACCCCAGCGGACGUGGGUUACUUGCAGUCUCUGGCAUGUUUCUUUAACACGUUAAGCGCCAGGCCUGUUUUGUCUUCCUUUCCGUUUAGCCCGCGAUAGCCGAUUGCACCGAUAUGCUGGCGGCACCAGUGACUGACUGGUCCAGACGGAAAGCAGUGUCACCCUCCCUUGUGCUUGGUGCAGACGGGGAUGUGAGCUUGCCGUCAGGCCUCAGGUCUGGCCAGGCCCUGGAACUGUUGGCGCAGCAGCUGGACACGGGGUCAGAGUGCUCUGAGCUGAGUACAGAAGAGUUUGGGGUACGGGGGGCUGGACCCCAGCCUGCAUGAGAGGACUAAGUGACUGACAUGGCACUGAACGUGUUCAAUGGCUGCGUUAUCAAUGAAGGUUUUGUCCUUUUAAUGACUUAUUUCCGAGACAAGCCUCUUCCCUCCAGGGUAUCCUCUGCCUUUUAACCACCGGCACGCCAGCAGGACCACUGUCCAGGGUCAGCUCCAGGGCCACCCCGGCUGUGGGGAUGCAGCUCUGUGGAAGGUGGCCCCCACUUGGACUCCAGCCUUCCGAGGUCAGGUUCAGUCAGCAAAAAGCCUGCACAGUAAGGCCAGCCACCUCAGCCCGCCUACUGGUGCAUGUUGGCGCCGUCCCCUGCAAGCUUCGGCCGGAAGGAGAGGGGUUGGGGCGCCCAGCACCUCUGGGACCCUCGCCUGUCCUCUCCACAUCCUGACGCUGAGGAGCUUCACGCCAGCGGGGGCACGUGGAGAGGUCCCCUGACCUGGUUGCGGAGAUGUUCUUCUGACCGAAUAAACCAAGGCAAGUGCAAAAAGCACCUAUGAGCUUCGACUCACAGAACCCCAAGACCAGCCAGGCUCCACGGGGCAAGAACCGCCUGCCGCUCCUCAUUCUGCACUGCCUGCCGCCUGGGCAGAGCUGCCGAUCUAAUGCAGGCGACUUAUGACUGCAGGGACCCCCGGAUCUAAUGCAGGUGACGUCACUAUCACAGGGACCCCCGGAUCUAAUGCAGGUGACGUCACUAUCACAUGGACCCCUGGAUCUAAUGCAGGCGACUCACUACCACAGGGACCCCCGGAUCUAAUGCAGGUGACGUCACUGGGCUAUCGGUUAGUCACCCACAGACCCCUGGUAUUAGGGAACUGCACAGAGACUCCAGGAAGAGGAGACAGGGUCGCAGGCAGGGCAACGUGCACAGGGUGCUGGUGGGCGCGCUGAGGUGUUGCAUGUAACUGGAAUGGUCUGAGUCGGCUACGGGAGCUGUGUGGCAGCGAUGCUGGAAGGGAAUAAGCCUUACGCGGCCUUUUUACCCACCAGUUCUUCAUGUGAAGGGCUGGUUUCAGGUAAGUCCCGUGCUGCAGCCCAUCCUCUUAGAGAGCCGCGUAAACAUUAGGCUACAGGAGCUUAAAAAAUACUUGGUUACCAUGAAUGUACGUCUGUGUGUUUACAAUUAAAGCACUGUGCCCGGAUGAGAUGAGCUUUCGGUGUUCAGACAGGAGCGUGUAACUGACCAGGAAAGUCACUUGCAAUUGUUCUAUAAAAGUUUUCUCAUUACGUCCCUCCUUCACACAUGUCACUCUGUUUGAGACGGGACAGUCCCUCUUCUAACACUGACUAGGGAGCCCCACCCCCGAGGUUAAUGUGAGAAACUUCCUAACAAGAGGAAGACCCUCACCCACUGCAUGGGUGUGUGUAACAGGUCAACGUGCGGAAAUACGCAACGAGGGGAGGGUGCUAUGUACUGCGUGUGUACAGGUCUGCAGUGUGUUCAGAAUGUUAUGUUCAUGUUCAUAAAGUACCUGUGUUGCUACGUGUUCAGCCUUUCGUGUAUUAAAUGACCAGUACGGAGAGCCUG